rnacentral:rRNA from 1 species
GAUGAACGCUGGCGGCGUGCCUAAUACAUGCAAGUCGAGCGAACAGACCAUGAUCUUGCUCCGUUGACGUUAGCGGCGGACGUGUGAGUAACACGUGUAUCACCUACUUGUAUUUCGGGUAUCACUUCGGGAAACCGGAGCUAAUACCAUAGCAUAUAUUGAACCGCAUGGGUGAUUGGUAAAUUACGGCUUUGGGGGAUGGUAUAGCUGGUUCCGCGCCGGAUUGUCGAGUUGGUAGGUUAACAGGCUACCACGGGAACGCGGCGUAGCCGAGGGGUGGGGGUGAUCGGCCACACUGGAACGGAGACACGGUCCAGAGUACUACGGGAGGCAGCAGUCGGGAAUGUUCCGCAAUGGGCGAAAACUUGACGCAGCAACGCCGCGUGAGUGACGACGGCCUUCGGAUCGUAAAACCCUGUUAUUAGGGAAGAACAGCUGUCUCCGUAACUAUGCACGUCUUGACGGUAACUAAUCAAAAAGCAACGGCUAACUACGUG